UACGGAGGAUGCGAGCGUUAUCCGGAUUUAUUGGGUUUAAAGGGUGCGCAGGCGGCGUGUCAAGUCAGCGGUAAAAUGUCGGGGCUCAACCCCGGCCGGCCGCUGAAACUGGCGUGCUCGAGUUGGAGAGAAGUAUGCGGAAUUCGUGGUGUAGCGGUGAAAUGCAUAGAUAUCACGAAGAACCCCGAUUGCGAAGGCAGCAUACCGGCUCCACACUGACGCUGAGGCACGAAAGCGUGGGUAUCGAACAGG
rnacentral:rRNA from 1 species